AUGAACGCUGGCGGCAUGCUUAACACAUGCAAGUUGAACGGGUUUAAGUUUAUUAAACUUAAACAAGUAGCGGACGGGUGAGUAACGCGUAAGAACCUACCUUUAGGUAAGGAAUAACUAUUGGAAACGAUAGAUAAUACCUUAUAAGCUUAUAGUAAAAGAUAAAAUCGCCUAAGGAUGGGCUUGCGUCUGAUUAGCUUGUUGGUGAUUUAAAAGAUCCACCAAGGCAACGAUCAGUAGUUGGUCUAAGAGGAUGAUCAACCACACUGGGACUGAGACACGGCCCAGACCUCUACGGAGGGCAGCAGUGAGGAAUUUUCCGCAAUGGGCGAAAGCCUGACGGAGCAAUGCCGCGUGGAGGAUGAAAGCUUGUGAGUCGUAAACUCCUUUUCUUAGUGAAGAAAUAAGACGGUAUCUAAGGAAUAAGCAUCGGCUAACUCCGUGCCAACAGCCGCGGUAAUACGGAGGAUGCAAGCGUUAUUCGGAAUUAUUGGGCGUAAAGCGUCUGUAGGUGGUUUUUUAAGUCUACUGUUAAAUAUUAAGGGCUUAACCUUAAAAAAGCGGUAUGAAACUAAAAAACUUGAGUUUAGUAGAGGUAGAGGGAAUUCUCGGUGUAGUGGUGAAAUGCGUAGAGAUCGAGAAGAACACCGGGUAGCGAAAAGCGCUCUACUGGGCUAAAACUGACACUGAGAGACGAAAGCUAGGGGAGCAAAAUAGGAUUAGAUACCCUAGUAGUCCUAGCUGUAAAACGAUGGAUACUAAGUGUUGGGCUAUAAAAAAGCUCAGUGCUGUAGCUAAACGCAUUAAGUAUCCCGCCUGGGAAGUAUGCUCGCAAGAGUGAAAACUCAAAGGAAUUGACGGGGGGCCCGCACAAGCGGUGGAGCAUGUGGUUUAAUUCGAUGCAACGCGAAAAACCCUUACCAGGGUUUGACAUUUCAUUUACUAUACAGAAAUGAAUAGAUUUAUAAUGAAAACAGGUGGUGCAUGGCUGUCGUCAGCUCGUGUCGUGAGAUGUUGGGUUAAGUCCCGCAACGAGCGCAACCCUUAUUUUUAGUUCAUGCGUCUAGAAAAACUGCCAACGAUAAGUUGGAGGAAGGUGAGGAUGACGUCAAGUCAGCAUGCCCCUUACACCCCGGGCGACACACGUGCUACAAUGGUUAAGACAAUGGGAUGCUAUUUCGCGAGAAUGCGCAAAACUCAAAAACUUAAUCUCAGUUCGGAUUGCAGACUGCAACUCGUCUGCAUAAAGUUGGAAUCGCUAGUAAUGGCUGGUCAGCCAUACAGCGGUGAAUACGUUCUCGGGCCUUGUACACACCGCCCGUCACGUUAGGAAAGCUAAUCACACCCGAAGUCAUUACUUUAACCAAUAGGAAG
rnacentral:rRNA from 1 species